rnacentral:lncRNA from 1 species
AGUCAAUUGCUCUUGACACAAGCAGUCGAUUCAUGUUAGUUUUGGUUCAUUCUGAAGUCACCUGAUCUUCAUCAAAUGGCCAUUGACUAACCAAACCUCAUGGAAAAGCGCUUCAAUUGUGUCGUCUUUCUUUCAAUGGGUAUACAUUGGCCUCAUUCUAUCAUAUUUUUGUUCUUCUUGUUAUGUUGUUUGGGUUAAAAACAAGUUUAUCUUCAUUUUGAAAUUUAAUUGAGAUGGUUUUUGUGACUUAAUUUUAACCAGAAUAGGUUAGUUCUUAAUUCAUCGCAACUUUGCAUUUAUAGUUCGUUAAUUACUUAAUUUUAUACUUGGAUUCAAUAAUCAGUUUGCAUAUUAAGUAGUUUAAUUGGUCUAAAAUGUGUAAUGUUUGUGAGCAUAUGAUUUUUAACCUGUUGAAAUGGCUCCUACAGGACUCUCAAAAGUUUAAGAUUUUCUUUAAAUAUUUGUUAUUUAGGAUUAUAGUUUUAGAAUUUAAUUACAUGCCAGCAUGUUUCCAUCAAUGCGUGUUUCAAAAUCAUUUAGGAUUUAAGUUUAUGUUUUGACCGAAAUAAUUGUUAACUAUGGUUAUUUUUACAAAUAGAAAACACAAAAAAUAUGUACAAGUAGUAUUUUGGCAUUUUUAAUUAUUUUUGGUUUAAUUUCAACUUGUUGCAUUUUAUUUGUAAUAAUUAGAAAUUUUGUUUUAAAUAAAAUUAGGAAUUAAUUAUAACAACAAUAAAAAUAAAAAAUAAAAAAAGACAAAUAUAUAUACAUAUGCACAGCCACUCAGGCUGGCCACAAUUGGGCCAGACCUGAGUGGCCCGAACAAUUUAACCCCUAAAACCCACAGACCCAGCCUAAAACAUCAACCUUGAUCCAGUCCACACCAUACACUUCCGAAAACGAUGUAGCUUAGAGAUAGGGCCAUCACAGCCGUCGAUAAGUUGACUAUCCAACGGUUCUGAAGCCUACCCAAUUUUUAGAUAUAUAUAUCCAACGUCUCUAUAGAUCUAGAGACAGAUUUAUCUUCUUCCUCGUACAGUCCACCUCCAACGCAACACCACCCUUGACCACCCCUUGACCACCCGUCUACCACCCUAACGCCGCCACCGGAAAUCGCCUCACGACGGCGGCUGGUCACCAAACCUCCCCAGAUUUACACUAUCAAACCAUCACAACCUCCUCUUUCCCGUCCUGUGACUAGUUUCCGCUGAAUAAGUCUCCUCCGUCUCGAAUAUUCAAAAGUAAGGUUGUCGGAACCACCAUCUCCGGCGACCUUGUUCCAAACCUCCCCAGUUUCACACCAUAGGAUCAUCAGAACCUCCCCUUCCCAAUCCUGCAAUCCAUUCCCUUCAAACGACCUCCCAUCGUCUCAAAUCUUCACAGAAAGGUCAUCAGAACCUCCAUAACCGGCGACCCAACUCCAAACCCCUCCAAAAUAACACCCCUGAAACAACUCAUCCUCCUCUUUCCAAUCAUGUGUAUUACACCCUUCGAAUCCAUUCAAAACGUUUCGAAUAUUAAGUUGAAGUUUAACCCUAAAACUCAACCCUGUCGGAAUUUGGUCAAGUUCAUAUCAGACCGUCCCCGUCUAUUUAUUUCCCCAACCAUACCCCACAAAACCCCCAAAUACCACCAAUCACCAAGAAAACUCAAAUCUAAGACCUCACAGGGUCUCAGAAUCACCAGAACCCCGGUCCUGAACCCCUAAAACCCAUCAGCCUAAAAUAAGUUGCUAGAAACCUCUGUAGAAGGGGUCAGGGACCAACGAAAUGGUCUCAAGUGGAUUUGCAUGUGUAAAACAAAAGCUAAGUACUUUGUCUUUGCUUGUAUAUAUUUGCUUCAUUUUUUGUUAAUUGAUUUCUUGUUUGUUUUCCACAAUCUCAUAUUAAAUAGGUUCAAUAGUUAUAUGCCUUUGGUUGUUAUUAGUUUGAAAUCCCUUCAUCUCUUGAAUGAUUUGAUAUCCUUUUAAUAUUAGCUCCUUGAUUCUGAAAGCUUAGUUGUUAAUACACUAUCAUUUUGGUAUAUCCCUUGCAACAAUUAUUUCUCUACCACGUUUGGUAAUUAUCUUCAUAGUAGGAUGACGAAAACUCUCAUUUCUGAUUGUAGUCCCUAUUAUAUCUUUGUUGAUUCUUCAGUAGUAUGAUUCAUAUGUUUUGUUGACCUCCAUCUCAUGAUCUUCAUUUGUUUUAUUCCCUGAUAUUCUGAUUAGUUUGGUUAGGCGUUUAUGCAACUAAGUGUUUGAUUUUCAUAGUAAUUUUUUAUCUUCAGUACUGGCAUAGUUUAGGCUGAUUUGUUUGGUUGAACCUUUAAUUGCUUCCUAAUUUUGUUCAUGAACUAAGUGUUAAAUCCCUAUUUCAAGAUUUUAUUGAGUGAUUUAGUUAGGAUUUUCUUAUAAUGAGUAUUAGUUGAUUGAUUUUUUUUGGUUGAUAGUGAUCCAUUGGUUUUAAUACAAAGAUACCUGAAAGUUUAUGAUCCUAAGUUAUAAUAACUGAUAAGCCAAUCCAUAUUAGGACACUUAGUUAUAUGGAUCCAAUGGACCUGUUAAUCCAGACCCAACCUUGGUCCAUAACCCAAGCACAAUCGACCAGGGUCAGGAAAUAACUAAGGUUAAAAAACUUCAGGGUAGAAUAGGGGUAUAAGGGGGAUUUGAGCCUUAAAAGAAUAAGAUAACAGCCCCUAGAACAUUCCAGUGAGGGGCUAAAAUAUAAUUUCAGCUUCAAACUUGAGGCACAAGUCAGGAAGUGAGAGAUCAUUUAAGAAAAGAAAUUUAACUCAGGGACUAAAAGGAAAAAACAAGGAAAAAUGAUGCCCUAAGGCUCCACUAUAAAAGAAACCAUCUGAGUAUUUUUUGAAGGAUCGGGGAACAUUGCUUUUGAAUUCUAGAGAUAAAAAUACAUAUUAGUUCCUCAUAUAUCUGUGAUAAACAAUCAGUACUAUUUUAUUCCUUUGAGAUUUUAAUUCCCUCAAAAAUCUGCUGAAACCCUGGGUAUAUUGUUUGAUUGGUUUGCUGUUUUGCUUGGCUGGUUCAUUGCAUUUACUCAUAGGCUUCUGCUUUCUGUUGAAUUACAGGUACAUUUCAAUGCUCAUUAAUGUAUGAAGCUCGAGUGAAAUAUGUUCCUUAGUAUGAAGAUCUUCAGCUAUUAUUUUUCCCUUUUGAAUCCCCACCUUGUCUUCCCUUCCUUUAGCUCUAAUGAACCUGCAGAUAAGAUGCUGGCCUCGUAGUAAUUAGGUGUUUGGAUUGUUUCAAUUUUGUAAUAACUGGACAUUGGGACUAACUUAUUUUUGUAAUAUCUGGACAUUUGGACUGCUGUUUUAGAUAUUUACAAUUAGUAGUAAUAUUAGCUAGUGGUAAAGUUAUUUCGAAUGUUGUUUUUCCGUUUUUUUUUCUUAGAAACGUUGAAUUUAGGAAAUGUUAGCUUGGUAAUCGUUCAAAGAUCAGAACACCUAGUAGAAUUUUAAUUCGUUUAAGUUUCAACAUAUUAGCAAUGCUUUGUUUCAGAUUUAUAAGUUGUAAUCAGAAUUAUAAUUGAAACUUGGAAGCUAAAUUCGUAUA